UCCCACCGGCGUGCGGCACUCCACUUUAUGCCGCCCUCCGGCAAAAGAUAAGGAGGAAUACCCGCUGUGGCUGGCGGUGCGGCAAUGUGGAGACUUGUCGUAAAGCACACAAGGGGCGCAGCCCCGUGCGAGACUGCUCAUGCGGAGGCAGGGCAGUUACAGUCAAGACGUAUGGCA
ncrna:unclassified sequences malK-I RNA